rnacentral:rRNA from 1 species
UACGGAGGAUCCAAGCGUUAUCCGGAAUCAUUGGGUUUAAAGGGUCCGUAGGCGGCCUUAUAAGUCAGUGGUGAAAUCUCCCGGCUCAACCGGGAAAUGGCCAUUGAUACUGUAGGGCUUGAAUUAUUAGGAAGUAAUUAGAAUAUGUAGUGUAGCGGUGAAAUGCUUAGAUAUUUAACAUGGAAUACCAAUUGCGAAGGCAGGUUACUACUAAUGGAUUGACGCUGAUGGACGAAAGCGUGGGUAGCGAACAGGA